rnacentral:rRNA from 1 species
UACAGAGGUCCCAAGCGCUGUUCGGAUUCACUGGGCGUAAAGGGUGCGUAGGUGGUGAGGUAAGUCGGAUGUGAAAGCUCCGAGCUCAACUCGGAAAUGGCAUUGGAAACUACCUUGCUCGAGGGUUUGAGGGGGGACUGGAAUACUUGGUGUAGCAGUGAAAUGCGUAGAUAUCAAGUAGAACACCAGUGGCGAAGGCGAGUCCCUGGAAAACUCCUGACACUGAGGCACGAAAGCUAGGGGAGCAAACAGG